rnacentral:rRNA from 1 species
AAUAUUGUACAAUGGGCGCAAGCCUGAUCCAGCCAUGCCGCGUGUGUGAUGAAGGCCUUAGGGUGGUUAAGCCCUGUCAGUGGGGAAGAUAAUGACGGUACCCACACAAGAAGCCCCGGCUAACUUCUUGCCAGCAGCCGCGGUAAUACGAAGGGGACUAGCGUUGUUCGGAUUUACUGGGCGUAAAGCGCACGUAGGCGGAUUGGUCAGUUAGGGGUGAAAACCCGGAGCUCAACUCCGGAACUGCCUUUAAUACUGCCAGUCUAGAGUCCGAGAGAGGUGAGUGGAACUCCUAGUGUAGAGGUGGAAUUCGUAGAUAUUAGGAAGAACACCAGUGGCGAAGGCGGCUCACUGGCUCGGUACUGACGCUGAGGUGCGAAAGCGUGGGGAGAAAACA